UGCUCUUAGCUCAGUGGUUAGAGCACCCACUACCUAUGUACGAAGUCAUGGGUUCGAGUCACCAUGGGGGCAG
rnacentral:tRNA from 1 species